ACACUAGGGCAUCUCUGAUCUAUGAAAAGCAAUGUUCUCUUGUAAUAGUUUGCAAUGUAAUUAAUAGGCAAAUUCUCUUACAUAUUUCAAGGCCUGAGUCUGGAAAUUCCUUGCUUGAUUCGAAGAUGUUCACAAUAGCACGUUUUGAAUCAUGCAAACAAUGCUGAAAACCUAUUCUGUAAGUUAAAACUGAGGGAUAUGAUUCCUAUAAUUUAGCUGCUAGAAGCAGUCUAAUCUGACAAUUCGUUCGAUAUAUAAGAUUAUCAAAAAUCCAAAUUUGGCUUUUAUUAGCUGAGCAACGCAUUCUGUCCUCAGCAGUGGGUAUAAAAGAAUCAUAAUCGACUGUUGCUCAAGAAAUAAUACAACAAUGUGAACCUCAUUUGUAAUAUUUCAGAAGUUCUUCAGUAUUUUCUCGCUUGAGACUCCAUCUGCUACCAGAAUUGAUGUUACUUCCUCAGCCAUCUGUUUCCGCCCACAAAGCACUGCAACAGCGGCCAAAGGGCUAUCAAUUUUCUUGGCCUUGGAAAAAGCAGCCUGUGAAAAGCAAUGAUGUAAAAAGGUGUUAAAUUAAUUCUUAAGCAUUAACAACCUUAGAAGACGUGUAAAACUACCUGUACAUAUCCAGUUUCUCCAGUCCAACUACCUUCUGGCUGUGAUAGUACUGGUACA
rnacentral:misc_RNA from 1 species